GGGAGUGAUUACCUGGCUCACGUCUAUGUAUGCACAUUAUACACUUUAUCUAAUUUUUCUGUCUACCAGGUUGCUUUUCGGGGUGCACAGAUGAGGCUUGCCCUCUGGAGACAAUGCUGCCAUCCCGGAGAGAGGCCUCACCCAUGAGCCAGGGCCUCCUGCAAACUUUGCGGGUGUUUCACAUGGAAAACAUCGGUGACCCCGCUCCCUCAGGAGCUGCGUGUGAGGCCCUGCACUGAAAACCCUUCUCUGGCCACUUCGAGCUCCACGGCCUCGGCUGACGCACGUCCCACCUCUGACUCGCUCUCCUGCUCUGGGGUCCCGCCCGGCUGGCUCAGCCAAGCCCUGGCAGGUGCUCUAGAGGAGGAGAGCCAGCAGCGGCUUCCAGAAUGUGGUGAGAUCUGAGGGGCAUAGGGGAGGAGACAGGUAGGCAGGGUCCGCAUUACACUUAAACAAAUAGAUUGCCUCCUUCUGAUUCAGUAUCUAGUCAGCUCAUCCCCCAGAGGCGGCAUUCACCAUCUCACUUACUCAUGAUGCACACUGUUUUCGCUCCGCUUCCAGAUUACUUCCAGGAUCCAGCCACUUCGCAUGAGCGUCUUUGCCACCAUCUGAAUCCAAGGCACCGCCCUCUUUCUCCUAGUCUGCUGCUUCCAUCGGCUCCUGUGACAGACUCCUCUCUGUACAGCAAUCUGGGCAAUCCUGUUAGAACCCAGGUCGGAUCCUGUCCCUCAUCUGUUCAGAACUCUCUGGCGGGUUUUUAUCUCACAUAGAGUGGCAACUAAAUUCCUUACAAUGGCCUACGAGGCCCUGCAGGAUCUGUCCAGCUAUAUUGGGCUCAGGCCAACUUGUCUUUGGCCCCAGAGCUUGUCAUCCUUUUUUUUUUCUUUUCUUUUCUUUUUUUUUUUCUUUUCUUUUCUUCUUUUCUUAAUUCUCUUCCUUGAGAUAUCACCUGACUCCCCUCUUCCAAUUUUUAUUCAAACAUCACCUUGUCAUUGAGGCCCUCCCCAGCCACCCCAUCUGAUACAGCACACCCUGUCCUCCUAUCCCACUGUAUUUUUUUCCAUAGCAUGAUUGUCAUGAUUAUUAUGUAAUUAAUCAUUAAUUCAUUUGUUA